GCUGGGCGGGACCCAUCGCUGGGCUGCGGGGCGGGGACCCGGGCUGGCUGUGCCCUCGGGCGGGCGGAGAAAUGGCGGCCGUGGGGUGACCUGCGCCCGCCUGCCAGCGCCGCAGGCUGAGGGGUCGGCAGCGGGAUCGGCCCAGCGGGGCUGUGAGGGGGCGCGGGGGCUACAAAUGCUGUGGGUCUUCCUCGCCCGCCUUGGGUUCUGCCGCACUCUUGUGCUUGUUUCUUCCCCGGAGCUCUCGAGGUGUUGCGCGCACGCCGCCUCUGGAGGGUGGGAAGUGCCUUUGUGUAUGGAUGCCUGCUCUGCCAUUCCAGCAUGAUAAAAAAUGGAGCUUUUAGCUCACUGCUUGCUCUCCAGGUACAGCUUCUGAGGCCAGGGGAGGAGGAACAGCAGUCUGAGGUGAGACAGCAUUGAAAGAACCUCAUUAAAUGCUUUUAGAGACCUCUGAGAAGAACUGUUGAGAUGCUUAAAAAUUGAAUAUUACCUGCUUCACAACUGUAGUGUUGUUUGAAGCAUGACUUUCCCAUUCUACCCAUCUUUACUUAAUAAUGAAAAUUAAGUGCUACACUUAGAGAUACUGCUACUUUUUACCUUAGAUAGUUUUUCUACAGACACAACAGUUCUUCAUGUUUUUAUGAUUGCAGUACUUGGCCAAGGAUGAAAACAAUAAUCUGAUUCCUUACAAACUUUCAGUGAUACGCAAAAAUCUGAUGGAUAAAAGGAUUUUCUGAGGCCAAAACUAAUACCCAUAUUUACUCAUUUGUUGUUUUUAAAUUAAGCUCUUUUUUUAGCAGCUGAGCAGCAAAAGUUUUGGUAACUCUAGGAGGAUAUUCCUCUAAAUAUAUUUUAAUGUAAACCUUUCCUUUGUCAACAGAUCUCAGAUUUUUGUUGCUGAAGAAUAUGUUGUUUUAACAGCACACAUCUAUAAAGAUUUUAAAGGACUUAAAAGAUGCUUAUUUUAGGCAAAUUUUUACUAUGAUUUAAACAAGAUGAGGAAAACAAUAUGUUCUGAAUUUUCAAAAGCUUGUAUACUUGCCUUUAUACCAAUUCUGACCUUAGUAAAUUAUAUUGUGGUGAAACAACUGUGAAACUGAUAAUGUAAGUAUUUGCAAUCAGUUGACAGCAUUGCAUGUGAAAAUGAAAUACUUCUCUCUGAUACAGAACAUAGAAUUGCAGCAUUUGAAAAAUUAUAAUUGUAACUAUAAGUCAUAUUCCUCUUUCUCUCUUCAAUGAGUGUUGUAAUAGUCUUCCUUAGCAUCCAACUACAAAAAAUAAACAUGCUGCUGAAACAAUUUUUUCUGACAAUGAAAUACUUGAAAAUAGAACUGAUUGAUGCACAGUACUCGCUUCACUGAUUUACAAUUGAGCUUUUGGAUGCACUCUCAGAUUUUGCAAGAUAAAUGUAUACAACAAGUUACUAAUUAACUCUGGUUAUAAGCUAAGAGAAAACAUGUAGUAAAGCAAAAAGAAGAACCUCUGAGCUGAAAUAUGCCAGGUGGAUGUGAAACAGGUCUAUGUGGGUUUUUUGCCAGUUUGCCAGUUUUGACUUCAGUCCCAGUUAAAUAAAUUAUAUGUAGUUUCAGUUAUUGUGUAUAUCCUUAAGUAUUCUUUUUUGUUGUACCUUCCAAAACAAGAAGUGUGUUUGUUGAAACUUAAGAUUUUUUUCAACGUGUAAAAUAAAUUUUAAUUUAGUAUAGCUUUCAUUUCAAUAGAAUUUGAAGCAUAGCAUAGUCUAGGUUUUAGUGUUGUAAUUAUAAUAGUUCUUAACAAUUUGUAAUACAAACUAUAGAGUCCAGAGCAUAAAAGGAAAGGUAAAAAUAUGUGUAUUUUCAGAUCUUGAAUAGGAUUGCCCAGUCAACAAAGGAAAUGUGUCGUGUAUAUGUACAAACUGAAUAAUUCGUAGUAUAUCUAAACGUAGAACUAAUUAUUUAGUUUAACUGGACAUAGGUAUGAAUUUAUCUUCAUUGUUCACUUUGGGUGAACUGACUUCAGAAACUUAAGGACAAACCUUUGUCACGUUCCUAAUUCAGCACGGCCUAACCACGACCAACAAGGUGAGGAGCAGUUCACACCUCCUCCGGCCAAGCCCCUUCAGGCUGUGCUGCCUGAGGUUCCUGCUGAAGGUGACACUGCAGCAAGAGCUGCCUUUCAGAAUUUGGAAAUUCAGCCAGUAUGGACAAAAGUAUUAACAUUUAUGUCUGUCUUUAGUUUUUGCAUUUCAGUAGUUCAGAUUUCACUGAAAAUUCUUUGAGAUCUUCAGCACAUGGAAGAUUAGAAUCAGUAAUUUAGUAUUAUAACGAGGAGUAAUUAAGGCCUUUCCUAGAUACCAGAAGGCGAUCAAGCAAAGCUCUUUUCUUCCUUUCCAAGUCUCAUCUGGUGCUAUCAAGAUUAAAUGAAGUGCAACUCAUGGUUAAUGAAGUUUUUACUCUUCUAUUAAAAUAAAAUUUAGUCUCUUAAAAUGCUUCCCUUUUGCCUUUCAUGCAUAAUUUCUGUCCAUACUUUGUCUAUUUUAGUGUAUUCGUAUGCCAUAUUUAGCCCAGACAAAUGUUUUUAGAUUUUACUAACUUCAAAACAUUGUCAAGUAGACACACAAGUGUGUCUUCUCUAUAUAUUGACAGCCUGAUUCACAUGCCUCUAAGUUCAUCUAAGACUCUUUCCACUAUUGCACAGAAAAGAAAUGACCUUUCAGGGAAAUACCUAUCAGUGUUUCAAUCAAUGCUGCUGCUUUUCAGUUAGGAUUAUUAAAAAUCUCAAACCUUAAUCUCCUAGAACUGCAGAACAACUGCAUUUUAGAUGCUGGUUUUUUUGGAGUCCAGUUUAAGAGGGUGAUUUGUAGCAGUAGGUACUAGAGUGAUUAAUGAGAUUUCAGUAGUUUUUUCCAUAGCUUCCUGCCUAGAGGGAGAAAAAAAAAAAAAAGAAAGAAAAAUCAACAAACAAACAAACCGACUUCAAACCCAUAAUGGCAGAUUAGUUGUGUGCCUUUCACUGCUUCUUGUAAAAUGUUAAUGGCCUCCUAAAGGUUUCGUUUUUGAAUGAGAACCAUCUAAGCAAGAAUUUUAGCAGAUGCAGAGGACAUUCAAGGAACUUGUGAAAGUUCCUUAUGUUCUGCUUUAUAAAGUCUGUUAGGCAAAUUUGGCACAGGCUGUGAAUCUAACCCUGAUUUCCAAGCAUUUAAAGGGUCCAAAUAAAAUGCCAUUCUGUAAUAAUUUUAUUUUUUCCCUUUUUUUCAAGUGUAUAUUAAGUACACAUCUGAGGAAGCAAUAUUGUACUCCUUUAUUUUAGAUUUAGGUAGCAGUCACAAGAGAUUAAAUGCCGUUACGUGUAACAAAGCAUGAAGAUGACAAGAUACAUAAACCUGGGGCUUUUCAGCUCCAUCACAUCAUCCAGCAUGUAAUGAUGCAGAUUUUGUAUUUCAGACACCAGUGUCACCUUGGGGUUGAAAUCACUCUAGAUGAAUCUGUGUGAGUAAGUAUGAGUAAGAUAGCUCCCCACACCCCAAUUACCUUCCUAUUUUAAAAAUAGAAAGGAAAAUGAGUCGUCCUGAGUUAAGACAUGAGUUGUUUGUGUGUGGUAUUUGUGAUGGAAGAUUCUUUCUAAAAUAAACACAGUAGUAAAUGGUCUGCUUUUUUCCUCUCAUAUUUUAAGGGGACAGGUUGCUUUUAGUGACGGAGUACUAGACUGGACUGAUCCUGGUCUCUUUUAGGGCAUUAGUACUUGACUAAUACAUACAGCACUAUCUAUUAGAGUCAUUAAUUGUAUCAAGCAAAAUAUUUUUUCUGCAGUUUUUUUAUUAAAUUUCUUUAAAGCCACAUGCAGGAUGUUACUUCCCAUGUUGUAUUUUAGUUCCAGCAACUCUAACAUGGAUGAUAUGGUGAUGGACUUCUGAAAUCCUGAAGAACAUGAAUCUGACAGGGAGCCUAGGUGGGACUUAAAAAAAAAAUUACAAAUCAUUCAACUACUAUUACAAAAAUUUUAUAAAUGCUGAAUAAGGGUGUCAAUUAAUAAAUGUUUCAGCCUCUAUUAAUUUAGUUCCUUCACUUCAUUACAGAAAGACACUAUUGAUCCAAAAUUUAUUAGGAGUGUUCUGCUAAAGCCAGCAGAGGGCAGACUUGAAUUGGAAACCCUUUUUGCUACUGCAGUUACUUGAACUUAAAAUACCAGAUAGUCCCUUGAGCUCAAAGUCUCAUCACUACUUUACUAUUCUAAUUACACUUGUGCUGGAUAAAAGCUUCUUUGCAGUUACUGUUUGACAAAAUGAGUGUUUUGCGAAAAUUUAAAUAAAGACGUUAAUACGAAAGUGAA